rnacentral:rRNA from 1 species
GACGAACGCUGGCGGCGUGCCUAAUACAUGCAAGUCGAACGGAAAGGCGAUGCUCUUGUUCGGCGCUCGUGUGGCGAACGCGUGAGUAUAACGCGUGUAUAAUGUCCUUGACUGUGGGAUAUAAUUAGGAGACACGGGAUAAAAUACGAUAUAAGCUCCUGCUGCACGGUGUGGGUUGGUAAGAUGCGGCGGUUGGGCAUGGACGCGCGGCUUAUCAGCUUGUUGGUGGGGUAGUGGCGUACCAGGGCUUUGACGGGUAGCCGGCCUGAGAGGGUGACCGGGCACAGUGGGACUGAGAUAGGGCCCAGACGGCUACGGGAGGCAGCAGGGGAAAAUAUUGCGCAAUAGGCGGAAGCCGGAUGCAGCGACGCCGCGUGCGGGAUGACUGCCUUCGGGUUAUAAACCGCGUUCGCCUGUAACGAAGAGUGCGUGACGGUAAUUGAUAAGGAAGCAACGGCUAACUACGUG